GUGGGGAAUUUUGGACAAUGGGCGCAAGCCUGAUCCAGCAAUGCCGCGUGCAGGAAGAAGGCCUUCGGGUUGUAAACUGCUUUUGUACGGAACGAAAAGGUCUGGGUUAAUACCCUGGGCUCAUGACGGUACCGUAAGAAUAAGCACCGGCUAACUACGUGCCAGCAGCCGCGGUAAUACGUAGGGUGCGAGCGUUAAUCGGAAUUACUGGGCGUAAAGCGUGCGCAGGCGGUUUUGUAAGACAGGCGUGAAAUCCCCGGGCUCAACCUGGGAAUGGCGCUUGUGACUGCAAAGCUGGAGUGCGGCAGAGGGGGAUGGAAUUCCGCGUGUAGCAGUGAAAUGCGUAGAUAUGCGGAGGAACACCGAUGGCGAAGGCAAUCCCCUGGGCCUGCACUGACGCUCAUGCACGAAAGCGUGGGGAGCAAACAGGAUUAGAAACCCCUGUAGUCC
rnacentral:rRNA from 1 species